AAACCAUGAUGAGGACACUCUAAGAGAAGAUCCUUAAAAUUUUCCAUACACCUAGAAAAUGAUUCAUUGAGUUUUUGACGAAACUGAGAAUGUUGUUCCUAAGUUU
rnacentral:snoRNA from 1 species